rnacentral:rRNA from 1 species
AGAGUUUGAUCCUGGCUCAGGAUGAACGCUGGCGGCGUGCUUAACACAUGCAAGUCGAACGAAGCAUAACAGAGGAUUUCUUCGGAUUGAAUUUGUUGUGACUUAGUGGCGGACGGGUGAGUAACGCGUGGGUAACCUACCUCUGUCAGGGGGAUAACAGUUAGAAAUGACUGCUAAUACCGCAUAAGCGCACGGUAUCGCAUGAUACAGUGUGAAAAGCCGAGACGGACAGAGAUGGACCCGCGCCUGAUUAGCUAGUUGGCGGGGUAACGGCCCACCAAGGCGAUGAUCAGUAGCCGACCUGAGAGGGUGAUCGGCCACAUUGGGACUGAGACACGGCCCAAACUCCUACGGGAGGCAGCAGUGAGGAAUAUUGCACAAUGGGGGAAACCCUGAUGCAGCGACGCCGCGUGAGUGAAGAAGUAUUUCGGUAUGUAAAGCUCUAUCAGCAGGGAAGAAAAUGACGGUACCUGACUAAGAAGCCCCGGCUAACUACGUGCCAGCAGCCGCGGUAAUACGUAGGGGGCAAGCGUUAUCCGGAUUUACUGGGUGUAAAGGGAGCGUAGAUGGCAUGGCAAGUCUGGAGUGAAAUUCCGGGGCUCAACCCCGGAACUGCUUUGGAAACUGUUAAGCUGGAGUAUCGGAGAGGUAAGCGGAAUUCCUAGUGUAGCGGUGAAAUGCGUAGAUAUUAGGAGGAACACCAGUGGCGAAGGCGGCUUGCUGGACGAUAACUGACAUUGAGGCUCGAGAGCGUGGGGAGCAAACAGGAUUAGAUACCCUGGUAGUCCCCGCCGUAAACGAUGAAAACCAGGUGUUUGGGAACAAAAGCUAUUCGGUGCCGCACCUAACCCGAAAAGUAUUCCCCCGGGGGAGUACGUUCGCAAGAAUGAAACUCAAAGGAAUUGACGGGGACCCGCACAAGCGGUGGAGCAUGUGGUUUAGUUCGAAGCAACGCGAAAAACCUUACCAAGUCUUGACAUCUCCCGGACGUCCCUUUAAUCGGGGAGUUCCUUCGGGACCGGGAAGACAGGUGGUGCAUGGUUGUCGUCAGCUCGUGUCGUGAGAUGUUGGGUUAAGUCCCGCAACGAGCGCAACCCUUGUCCUUAGUAGCCAGCAGUAAGAUGGGCACUCUAGGGAGACUGCCAGGGAUAACCUGGAGGAAGGUGGGGAUGACGUCAAAUCAUCAUGCCCCUUAUGACUUGGGCUACACACGUGCUACAAUGGCGUAAACAAAGGGAAGCAGCCCUGCGAAGGUGAGCAAAUCUCAAAAAUAACGUCUCAGUUCGGAUUGUAGUCUGCAACUCGACUACAUGAAGUUGGAAUCGCUAGUAAUCGCGAAUCAGCAUGUCGCGGUGAAUACGUUCCCGGGUCUUGCACUCACCGCCCGUCA